rnacentral:lncRNA from 1 species
CGGACUAUUCAAACAACUUGUCUUUAUCACUUGAACCACUACAACAAAAUUUAUACUAAGCUCAAUAGCCAAGAACCUCAUUCUCUUUACAUAUGUCAAUCCUUCAAAAUCUCCCCACAACUCUGCUACAGAUGCACUAAAAGUUCUCAAACCCUUUGCAAAGCCACCUAACUACUUCCUUAACUACCUCGUAUAACACCUCCACACCCAGCUAUGAUUGAAAUUACUAGUAUUUGACUAGUUAAAGAUUGAUAUUGAAAUUAUGGUGCAUCAAAAACUUAUAUAGUAAAAAGUUAUGACUUGGAAAUGGAGUUUGGCUAGAUUGAAAGUGUCUCCUUGCAUGUUUUAUGAAUGGACAUGAGAUCCCGGGGAUUGUCUUCAACGCUAAUGAUUUUUAGAGGUGGCUUUUUCUUGUCAAUUUGCAUGGCUUGUGUAGGGGACUAGUUUUUUUUUCCUUUUCUUUUCAUGCUUCUAGCUAGUUGUUGUUCUUUUGUUAGUGGGGUGUUUUCUUUCUUUUGGAUCUUUGUAGCAGUCCUUGUUGGAUGUGCUAGUGGAUUCUUUUGUUUUUGUACUGCUUUGGCUGCUCAUGUACUUCUUGUUAUUGAGGAAGUUUUAAUAAAUUUUN